GGAAGGAUCAUUAACACUAAUCCAACUCAUCUCAACCUAGCCUUCAGUUGUAGCAGUAGCAUUGCUUCGGCGGUGCAGCUGAUACAGCCACACAAACUUAAUCAACCAAAGGAGCCUAACUAAGCUCAACCACAAAUCCAAAUUCUCAACGAUGGAUAUCUUGGUUCCCAUAACGAUGAAGAACGCAGCGAAGUGCGAUAAGCAAUGCGAAUUGCAGAACCGUGAGUCAUCAGAUUUUUGAACGCAACUGGCGCCGGCUGGCUCUCCAGUCGGCAUGCUUGUUUCAGUGUCUUUUUAUCUCCUCACCCAAAUCAUAAUGCGAGAGAUACCCUUCUCUUGCUAAGCAUGAAAGCACUCUGCGCUCUGCGAGUGAUUUCGACUAGUUCGAGGUCACACUCAAUGCAGCAGUCACAUUGCUCACAAUGUGAACUCAUUGAGAGCUGAGGCAGUGCAGCGUAAGCUGCCAGUGCUUAGACACACAAACUUAUUUGUAUCUGAAAUCAAGCAGGAUCACCCGCUGAACUUAAGCAUAUCAUUAAGCGGAGGAGAAGAAAUUAACUAAGAUUGCCCUAGUAACGGCGAGUGAAGAGGCAAAAGCCCAAAGUGGAAAUCUUGUACCUUUGGUACACGAAUUGUAAUCUAAAGAUUGCUCACUCACCGGCAGGUGUCGCAGAAGUGCCUUCGAACGGGCCGCCAGAGAGGGUGACAGCCCCGUAUGUGGUGACACUUGCUAACGAGUGCGUGGUCGAAGAGUCGGGUUGUUUUGUAUUGCAGCCCUAAGUGGGAGAUAAACUUCUUCUAAGGCUAAAUAUAUAUGGGAAACCGAUAGCGAACAAGUACUGUGAAGGAAAGAUGAAAAGAACUUUGAAAAGAGAGUCAAAAGACUUGAAAUCGUUGAGAAGGAAGCGGUAGAAAUUUAUUCUUCGGCGGAGGUCGGUGCAGCUUGCCCAACCAUUGCAUGUGUGCGGCACUGCUAAAGGCUGCUUCAUGCACCUGGGGAAGUGAGUUGUUUGACCUCCGUCGUGAGGCAAAAUGAGGUGGCGCAUCCACAAAGGCUUCGUACACUUCGCUUGAUUCGUCAGGCAGUGUGCGUGUGCCGGUGUGUGCUCCGCCUGAGGAUGCUUUGUGCGAUUUUGCCAAAAUGGUUUUUACCGACCCGUCUUGAAACACGGACCAAGGAGUCUAACAAAUAUGCGAGUGUGCUGGUGUAGAAACCAACACGCGUAAUGAAGGUGAGUGAUGCCAAGUCGCAAGAUGGCAGCAUCAACCGACCAUGAUCCUCCGGUGAAAGGUUUGAGUACGAGCAUAUCUGUUAGGACCCGAAAGAUGGUGAACUAUGCCUGAGUAGGGUGAAGCCAGGGGAAACUCUGGUGGAGGCUCGUAGCGGUACUGACGUGCAAAUCGUUCGUCAAACUUGGGUAUAGGGGCGAAAGACUAAUCGAACCAUCUAGUAGCUGGUUCCCUC
rnacentral:misc_RNA from 1 species